AACGAACGCUGGCGGCAUGCCUAACACAUGCAAGUCGAACGAGACCUUCGGGUCUAGUGGCGCACGGGUGCGUAACGCGUGGGAACCUGCCCUUAGGUUCGGAAUAACUCCCCGAAAGGGGUGCUAAUACCGGAUAAUGUCUUCGGACCAAAGAUUUAUCGCCUUUGGAUGGGGCCGCGUUGGAUUAGCUAGUUGGUAGGGUAAAAGCCUACCAAGGCGACGAUCCAUAGCUGGUCUGAGAGGAUGAUCAGCCACACUGGGACUGAGACACGGCCCAGACUCCUACGGGAAGCAGCAGUGGGGAAUAUUGGACAAUGGGCGGAAGCCUGAUCCAGCAAUGCCGCGUGAGUGAUGAAGGCCUUAGGGUUGUAAAGCUCUUUUACCCGGGAUGAUAAUGACAGUACCGGGAGAAUAAGCUCCGGCUAACUCCGUG
rnacentral:rRNA from 1 species